rnacentral:lncRNA from 1 species
GCACUCGGCUUUGGCAUCACCAAUUGGCCAGAAGCACAUACACACACACACCCCCAGUCAGAGGCGAGCACCCCGCCUGCUCCCGGAACUGUCAAGCCGGGCUGACAGCUGGCACACCUUGCUGCGCCCUCCGUGGACUUUCAGGAAGCCCCUUCCUUGCAGUCACCUUGACAGAAACCAUCCUCCUGGGCUGGAGCGCUUGGCUGUGGAAACUUUUCCUUCCUUUCCCGGAGCGCGCUUACAGGUUUAAGCUCGUCCAGUCUUCCCAGACAUGCCUCUCUUGAUGUAAACAGCCAACAGCUGGGAUUUGAGGACUGGACGUUCUCAUGAUGACAGUCUAUAAGCUAAGAAAGAACAGCAGAGAUUUAGUGGCCUCCUGGAAGUUUCACAGGAAUAAAGGAAUCUCAGACAGUGCUUGCUUGUUUGUAGUUUCGGUUCCUGCAAGAGUUCUUCUCAGAGGAGACGUGCCACCUGACAACCGGGUGCAUAUUGUCUCCUUACCCUUAGACCCUUGCCAACUGUUUUAAAGUAAAUCAUAUUGAUGAGUCCAAAAGCGAACAUCAGGAAAUAAUGCUAAAUUAAAAAUAUAUAAAUGGAUACCUCAAGUGGCAAAUCUGUAGGCAUAAAAACAUGAUGUAGGAUAACAAAGGACUUAACAUUUUUGGUUCACAUUAAAAUUAAACUAGUAUUUAUAACCCGUGCUUAAUUAAAGGUUCUUUGUUGCUCAUUCAUUACAACCACCACCAAUAAUUUCUGGAACCAAAAGUACUAACUACUACUCCACAUAAUUGGAUUUUGUCUCUUUCCUCUCCCUUGUGGUGAAUAUGGUCUCAGUACAUCUUUGAAUAUGAAAUGGAGGUGAAGAUCGUGGUGACUUCUGCGAUGACUGUGUUAGAACUCUAUCAUUAAAAGUUGCUUUUAAAUAAUUUGACUAAUAACGAGGCAAUUGUUUGAAAUGGAUCUGGAUUUUAGACUUUAAAUAAUAACACUGGUUUGACAAGUUCAUGAAUCCUUUCUGACCGUAAAUGGAUAAGCAGAUUUACAGCUGUUGCAUAGACAGGCUGUAAAUAGCAAGGAACACUGAAACUACUUAAAGUUUAUAACUUUGAAUCACAGGAUCAAGCACUUAAUUAGUUUCAACCUUGAUUUAUGGCAUCCUAGUACUAUUAUGGAUUCCAGUUAGGCUAAUCUUUAAGAGAUUUUUACAACAUUUCGUAACUGCUGAGUGCAAUUUUCAUGACACCACUUUUCCCUUACAUCCUUUUGUUCUUGGGCACCGGGCAGGGUCAUACUUUCCACACACUGAAAUUGAGCCUACCCAAAUGGCUUGCUUGACAAGUGAGAUGUUUCAUUUCCUGGUAGAAUCACGUUAAGGAGAGUGCUGAGCCUGCUGUAACCUACUCUUGUCAUCCUGCAGAGAUGGGUCAAGAUGGAGGUGACACUAAGUUGAAGGAUCCUAAAUAUGUUACACUAUUACCCUGAGCACCUCUUCUUGGAGAGGCUCGGGGUUUGCAGCAGAAUCCCCCAAAGCACUAAUUAUCUAUUUUGAGAUUAAGUCAAUAAACUGUUCAGCAUCUUUCAGAACC